rnacentral:rRNA from 1 species
UAGGGAAUCUUCCACAAUGGGCGCAAGCCUGAUGGAGCAACACCGCGUGAGUGAAGAAGGGUUUCGGCUCGUAAAGCUCUGUUGUUAGAGAAGAACGUGCGUGAGAGCAACUGUUCACGCAGUGACGGUAUCUAACCAGAAAGUCACGGCUAACUACGUG